AUUGAACGCUGGCGGCAUGCCUUACACAUGCAAGUCGAACGGCAGCACGGGUGCUUGCACCUGGUGGCGAGUGGCGAACGGGUGAGUAAUACAUCGGAACAUGUCCUGUCGUGGGGGAUAGCCCGGCGAAAGCCGGAUUAAUACCGCAUACGAACUACGGAUGAAAGCGGGGGACCUUCGGGCCUCGCCCUAUAGGGUUGGCCGAUGGCUGAUUAGGUAGUUGGGGGGGGAAAGGCCUACCAAGGCGACGAUAAGUAGCUGUUCUGAGAGGACGACCAGCCACACUGGGACUGAGACAUGGCCCAGACUCCUACGGGAGGCAGCAGUGGGGAAUUUUGGACAAUGGGCGAAAGCCUGAUCCAGCAAUGCCGCGUGUGUGAAGAAGGCCUUCGGGUUGUAAAGCACUUUUGUCCGGAAAGAAAUCCUUGGCCCUAAUACGGUCGGGGGAUGACGGUACCGGAAGAAUAAGCACCGGCUAACUACGUG
rnacentral:rRNA from 1 species